rnacentral:rRNA from 1 species
GACGUAGGAGGCGAGCGUUAUCCGGAUUCACUGGGCGUAAAGCGCAUGUAGGCGGUUGGACAAGUCGUGUGUUAAAGCCCCUGGCUCAACUGGGGGAGGUCAUGCGAGACUGUGCGACUUGAGGGCAAGAGAGGCACGUGGAACUCCCGGUGUAGCGGUGGAAUGCGUAGAGAUGCGGAGGAACACCGAUGGCGAAGGCAGCCCCCUGGGCUAACACUGACGCUCAGGCACGAAAGCGUGGGGAGCAAACAGG